rnacentral:tRNA from 1 species
GUGUACGUAAUUUAAAAAAAAUAUCAAGUUGUGACCUUGAACAUAGACAACCUCGUACAC